rnacentral:rRNA from 1 species
GGCCAGACUCCUACGGGAGGCAGCAGUGGGGAAUAUUGCACAAUGGGGGAAACCCUGAUGCAGCGACGCCGCGUGAGUGAAGAAGUAUUUCGGUAUGUAAAGCUCUAUCAGCAGGGAAGAAAUAAAGUCCUUCGGACUUUGGACGGUACCUGACUAAGAAGCCCCGGCUAACUACGUGCCAGCAGCCGCGGUAAUACGUAGGGGGCAAGCGUUAUCCGGAUUUACUGGGUGUAAAGGGAGCGUAGACGGCGAUACAAGUCUGAAGUGAAAGCCCGGGGCUCAACCCCGGGACUGCUUUGGAAACUGUGUUGCUGGAGUGCUGGAGAGGCAAGCGGAAUUUCUAGUGUAGCGGUGAAAUGCGUAGAUAUUAGGAAGAACACCAGUGGCGAAGGCGGCUUGCUGGACAGUAACUGACGUUGAGGCUCGAAAGCGUGGGGAGCAAACAGGAUUAGAUACCCGCGUACC